rnacentral:rRNA from 1 species
GUGCAGCAGGCGAGAAUUUUUCUCAAUGGGGGAAACCCUGAAGGAGCGACGCCGCGUGGAGAAUGAAGGUCUUCGGGUUGUAAACUCCUGUCAUUUGGGAACAAGGUGUGCGCGUUAACUGCGCGCGCAUUGAUAGUACCAGAAGAGGAAGAGACGGCCUAACUCUGUGCCAGCAGCCGCGGUAAUACAGAGGUCUCAAGCGUUGUUCGGAUUCAUUGGGCGUAAAGGGUGCGUAGGCGGCGCGGUAAGUCGGGUGUGAAAUUUCGAGGCUUAACUUCGAAACUGCAUUCGAUACUGCCGUGCUUGAGGACUGGAGAGGAGACUGGAAUUUACGGUGUAGCGGUGAAAUGCGUAGAUAUCGUAAGGAAGACCAGUGGCGAAGGCGGGUCUCUGGACAGUUCCUGACGCUGAGGCACGAAGGCCAGGGGAGCAAACGGGAUUAGAUACCCGCGUAGU